rnacentral:rRNA from 1 species
UGUCAAGAAAAGUCUCUAUCGAGGUUAAAGGUACCCGUACCGCAAACCGACACAGGUGGGUGAGGAGAGUAUCCUAAGGCCAGCGAGAGAACUGUUGUUAAGGAACUCGGCAAAAUGACCCCGUAACUUAGGGAUAAGGGGUGCCACCAUCAGGUGGCCGCAGAGAAUAGGCCCAAGCGACUGUUUACCAAAAACAUAGGUUUCUGCUAAGUCGCAAGACGAUGUAUAGGAGCUGACGCCUGCCCGGUGCUGGAAGGUUAAGGGGAUCUGUUAGAGUAAUCGAAGCAGUGAACUUAAGCCCCAGUAAACGGCGGCCGUAACUAUAACGGUCCUAAGGUAGCGAAAUUCCUUGUCGGGUAAGUUCCGACCCGCACGAAAGGCG